rnacentral:lncRNA from 1 species
UUUAACUUUAAGAAUCGUAAUUUCAAAUUAUACUAUCCUUAUAUUAUUGUAUGUUUUUAUAUCUAAAAAAUAUAUAGUUUCUGCUAUGCGAUGAUGUGGAAUAAUUUAAUAUUUCUCUCCAGAACAUUUUGGAUCGGACGUAUCCGAUUUUACUUCAGAAGAACUUUCUGACAAAUGAUGAUACUACACUAUUGGUUCAUUGCCAAAAGUGAAUAAUGCAUGCCAAGAAUUUAGUUUUAAUAUUCCAAGAUAGAGAAACACGAAGUCUUCCUCGCAAUCGUUAUUUAAAUAAUAUAUAUACCACAUUACAGUAUCAGAAAAUAUUUUUCCUUAAAUUUGUUAUUGUUCUAGUCCGUUCAAAAUUAAGAGAAGGUUUUCCAAUCUUGAUCACGCUUAUUUUAAAAAAUGAUUGCGAAUCGAACAAACAUACGGCAUUGUGACUAUAAAUUAUCAUCUCCUAAGUAGAAGUAUCGUGGCGAUAGUGAGAGCUUUAUCCCAGUAUUUGUUACUUGCAGAAAUUCGAUUAUUAUUGUUGAAGGACAGUAUCAAUAAUUUAUGCAUUUAGGGAUUUAAUUUUUGCAUUUAAUACAAAAACCAAAUAAUUAACAACUUCAGCAAGUUAUCUUCUUUAUUUAUACAAUAUAACAUUUUUGUUUUUAUUGUUUCAAUAACCGCUUUAAGUAAAAAAAAUAUGUAAUUGAAUUUUAAAAAAUAAUAUAUUUUGUUAAAUUUCUGAGUAUGUGUUCAAAGAAAUUUGUAUGCACUGCACCAUUC